GCUCAGACGAACAUUCGUGUAAAAAAUGGAUUGAAAUGGACAAUCAUAAAAUUUUGGGCUAUGGACUUAUUGAAGACAACUGUAUGGAGAUAAACAGAAACACAGAGGUGCUAUACAUUCUGAUGGAAAAGACAACAAAAGCAUCUCCCAUCAUUUUGGCGUGGCUCAGAUCAAGAGGAGAAAUUUAAAAAAGGUGAUGGUUGGGCACACACAAGAAGACAUAGAUCACAGGCGUAUAGCAUAUGAGUAGACAGGAGUUUCACACUCUGCCAGACUUACUUCCUCAGACGAGCAGAUUUAGGCUUCUCAAGAUCACGCACUGCACACUAAGACAUAGUCUUUAACUACAACAAGGCCUUAGGGGAUGAAAGUACAGAGAGGUCCAAUUGAAAUCAGUUCUGUGCUGCGUCAUUUCUUUAUUCUAGAGGUUGAUGGACAUGAUUUAUGGCAUCAAGUGUGCAGUUUGUCAACUAACUAUCAACACAGCAGUCUUGUUCACCAGCUGCGCAACUUGAGCUUUUAGCUUUAUUGCUUGAAGCCACUGUAUAAGAGGAGGGAAGGUGCAGACUCAUCAAAAAGUCUCAAGGUUGAAACUAGGAAGAGAAGUUUGUCAAGAGUGUGAAUAUUUGCUUUGAAAACAAUUGUUACAAUGAUUUGGUUUCCUUUGAAACUUGAUACAUACUAUGUGUAUGUUAAAUGAAUUGAGAUGCUUAAAUAAAGAACCACUAUUCAAAUAUCAGGAAACUGCAUUUUUCAUACUAAAUUGGUAAAUGAUGUCACCAUUUCCUGUAUGUAUUUAAAUAAGAUAUGUUUCCACAAUUAAUAUUUUUAGGGACUAUUUCUCAACGUAAUGAAAUAGAUUAAAUUUGUACAGCGUUAUAUGAGCUUAAUAUGUGUUUUCUGUUUCCUUAAAAUUGAUGAAAAAUUGUCAGAAGGUAAUGAGACCAGUAUCCAUUACUACAAUCAUACAAUAAAAAAUACAGGGACAAGCCCACUGCUCAUAUAAUAUGAUUAAACCUUGUUUAGGGGCAUGAGGCAAACAGAGUUACUUUCAAAUGUUAAAGAUGCACUCCCACACUUUGGAUGUUUUGACAACUGUUUUCAUUUUUAGCUCUACUGGCCAAAGGCCAGAAGAGCUUAUGCGAUGGUAAUGUGUACGUAGUAUGUGCGUCUGUAAACAAUCCUCGUUUACAUGAUACAGCCUACAGUUCCUUUCGAAAACCAGCCAGAUCCGCCCAUGCAUGCCUAGUUUAUGGGCCUUGAUAGUAUACAAAAAUCAGUGUGUCAGUAGGCAAUUGCUCGUUAACAUGAUACAGCCUUUUUGAUUGUAUCUCAAUGAAACUUGUACAGUAUCUACAUAUCCAUAUGAGCUCGGUUCCUUUUGAAAACCAGCCAGAUCCGCCCAUGCAUGCCAAGAUCAUGGGCCUUGAUAAUAAAAAAAAAUAGUGUGUCAGUAAACAAUUGCUCGGUAACACGAUACAGUCUUCAGUUUUGAUUGUAUCUUGAUGAAACUUGUCCAGUAUAUCCAUUAGAGCUCAGUUCCUUUCAAAAACCUGAUCUGCCCAUGUUUCCUGGAUUAUUGGCCUUGAAAUUAUUAGAUGAUGGGCCUUGAUAGUAUAAAAAAUGCUAUUAUGUAAUAAAUGCUUGCGAAUAUGAUACAGUCUUCAGUUUUGAGUAUUCCGAUACCCAUAAGGGGUUGGUUCUUUUCGAAAACAGUGAUGUUGACCACACAAACCCAGCCAGUAGAGCAUAAGCCCUUUUGGGCCUCUUGUUUGUUUUGGAUUGGUACCAUCCAGUCUUUGCGAAAAAUGCAUGGAAACCAGUAAUAUAAGACUACUGACAAAAAAUUCAAUUGCAGACUUUUUUAUUUAAGUUAAAACAUUGAUGUUUUAUGCACUUUUCUUAAACCGUUAGUAACAUUAAUCUUCGAAGGAAAUAUGAAAUCUGGGAUUUGAUGUUUUGUCAGCAAUCUUUUACCAUUGGUUUGUUGAUAUUUACGCAAAAAUUUGCUCAUUCCAAGACAAAACAAAAGUUGUUAAAACGGUAUAUCUGUGAGAAUGCAGCUCUAAAUGUUUUGGCAAACAUGUUUUUGAUUUGGCAGCACAAUCAAUCUUGAACAUUGCUUGAUUUUACUGCUGUAUUAGAAAUUACAGGGGUAAUGGGGGAUUUUUUUAGUGUUUUUAUUGCUUUUUGUGAUUCAUACAGUCAUACUUCAUUCCCCAGGGCACAACUUACAAAUAGACAGAACAGGAAAAUGGUCAUUUUAAAAGGUCAAGGACAAUGCAAGUUGAACAAUCAUAUUGUUCAUGGCUUGUAUUUUUGGUAUAUUUUGUUGCAUAUAUGCUAUAAAAAAGUUGAAAGUUAAAAAUAACUUCAUAGUUGAAAUGAUGGCUUUGAAUGGUUUUGUCAGUUGAGAAACAGCACUAUUAAGAAAUAUAUGUUAAUGGUACUUUAUUAUUUUAAUCAAUUUUAGAUAUUUGUAUGAAAAUUAUUAUCUUAUUUUGUACAUGAGACCUUUUAAACAAUUAUUUAUAAUUUAACAAUGUGUAAAUGAUCAAAACUUAAAGCUGCACUUUCACAGAUUGUCAUUUUAGACACUUUAAAAAAAUUGUCUCAAAAGCUGAUUUGGUUAUCAUUCCUUUAAUUCAGUCAUAUUAGAUAAUUCACAAUAGAACCAAUCAAAAAUGUUUGGUAAGACUGCCGAAAAGUUCAUUUACAUUAAAUUGUUCGUAAUGCUACUAUACCCAUAAAACAUCAUUUUAGCCAUAAAUAUGACAAAAUGCAAUCUGAUCUUAUUUCAGCAG